UUUGUGGUUUUUAGUAAGUUCUCAAAACUUUAUUUAAAUGUCACUAAAAAAGUAAACAGUUUUUAUGCAUUGAAGUGAUUGAAUGUAAAUGAGGGCUAUUUAAGCAAUUUAAACAUAAUGAAUAAUAAUGAUGAUGAAUAUCACUGAAUGAAAUUACUAAAACUUAUUUUGAAACUAUUUGUGAGCUUUGUUCUGUAUCUAUCUUCAAUUAUAAUAAACCUAAUAUGGAAAGACGCAAAGCGAGUCCAGAGCAAUUGAAUAUGCUUUUACAUUUUUUAGAGGAAGAUAAGGAACUAGCUAUUGGAAAAUUUACAGGACUCGAGGGCAGGAUACGUCAAACAAAUGCUUGGAUUAAAAUUACAGAAAAACUUAAUGCUAACUCAGGCUUUGGAUCUGGUGCAAUUAAAACACCAGAUAAAUGGCAGCAGACAUGGAGAGAUUGGAAAUCAAAUGUGAAAAAGAAAGCAUUUAGGAUACGAAAGAAUCGCUUUACACCUGGUUGUAAUGCUAACACCCAAUUAACAGAGGCUGAAGAGAAGAUACUAAGGUUAAUUUGUACAAAUAUCUCUGUAUUUGGAUUGACUGGUGUACCUGAAACAUCAGCUGUUGCUAGUAACUCAAUGACUGUAACACAGGCUAAUGUGAAUGAUGAUAUAUGCAAUGAAGACCCAUCUACAAGCACUAUGAAAUGGUCGACGGAUCCACAACAUUACACACAGACAGAUAUUGGAAUAAGUCUUGAAGAUGGUAUUAAUACAGAUUCAGAUAUUGGGAUGGGAUCUACUGAGAUGUCAUCAGCACCUGCCAGUGGGAAACCUUUAUGGAAAAGGGGACGGCCAGUCAGAUUAGUUCAUGACCGACUCUUAAAUUUAGAAGAAGAGAGAAUAAGAAUUGAAAAACAGAAACUUUUAGAAAAAAAGAGAUGCAAUAAUAUCAGACUGAAAAUGGAAAAGGACAGGCUCGAAAUUGAAAGGCAACGGAAUCUUUUGUUAGAAAAACUGCUGGUUGCAGUUGAAGCAGUGGUACAUCGAUAAUACAUACAUUUUAACAUAUUAUAAUGACUAUCACUAAUUUUGGUCUCUUGAUUCAAUUACAAGUUAUUGCCAGAGACAACACAUUUCAUGAAAAUGAUGAUAAUGAAAUGUUAAACCCGCCUGCACUAAUGGUAUAUGCUGGUGGGGCACCAGUGAGAGAUGACAGAUGAGAAUGAAAUGCAGGUCAGUAAACCCAUCGUGAUUAAUACACCUGGAAUUCAGCACGAUGGUUUCUAAGGGGUCCAUAUGGAAGUUGAUCUGACAGAGGGUGUAUUACUAGCAAUGGAAGUUCAAUAUUUAUCUAGAUAUAGAUAGAUUUUUAGGUAUAAGUAAGUACCUACACAUUUUUGUUUUUAAUACCAUGUGGCAAACAAAUAUAUGGCCUGUUUGAUCUUAAGCGAUUAUAGCAGUCUAGAGCAGGGGUUUCCAAACUUAUUUUGUCUACUGCCCACUUUGAGAAUAAAUUAUUUUUUAGCGCUUCCAUUUUUUCACUUACUUAAAAAUCACUAUUACUUCAAAUUAAAUUAAUUAUUGUGAGCUAUAUUUGCGGAAAUUAAACAUUAAUUCUAUACGAACCUCUACACAACCCCCCCAUUUUUUUCUGGGUCUCUUACCGCCCCCCUUUAGGCUUGCAGCGCUCACAAGGGGUCGUUAUCGCCCACUUUGGUAAAGAUUGGUCUAGAGAGUAUAGUAACUGCUAAAGAUGUUAUCAGAAACAGUACUCGCACGAUGCCGAUCCUUGUUAUUUCAGUAAUAUUUGUGAUAUUAUCUAUAUCAAUAUCAAAUAAAAAGUAUUUACAUAUCAAAUUCGUAUUAUUUUUUCUUUCAGUUUAAUUAAUCAAAAUUUGCUAAUAUUCGUUAUUUAUACAAUAAAAUUAAUGGGUAGGUAAUUGCGUAAAAAUGUUUCUGCUCUCGAAUU